AUGCACGCUGGCGGCGUGCCUAACACAUGCCAGUCGAGCGGCAGCGAGGGGUGCUUGCACCCUGUCGGCGAGCGGCGGACGGCUGAGUAACGCGUGGGAACGUGCCCCAAAGUGAGGAAUAACUGCCCGAAAGGGUAGCUAAUACCGCAUAUUAUCUUCGGAUCAAAGGAUUUAUCCGCUUUGGGAGCGGCUCGCGUCGGAUUAGGUAGUUGGUGAGGUAAUGGCUCACCAAGCCGACGAUCCGUAGCUGGUCUGAGAGGAUGACCAGCCAGACUGGAACUGAGACACGGUCCAGACUCCUACGGGAGGCAGCAGUGAGGAAUCUUCCACAAUGGGCGAAAGCCUGAUGGAGCAACGCCGCGUGCAGGACGAAGGCCUUCGGGUUGUAAACUGCUUUUAUAAGUGAGGAAUAUGACGGUAACUUAUGAAUAAGGAUCGGCUAACUACGUG
rnacentral:rRNA from 1 species